rnacentral:rRNA from 1 species
UGGGGAAUUUUGGACAAUGGGCGAAAGCCUGACCCAGCAAUGCCGCGUGUGUGAAGAAGGCCUUCGGGUUGUAAAGCACUUUUGUCCGGAAAGAAAUCCUUGGCUCUAAUACAGUCGGGGGAUGACGGUACCGGAAGAAUAAGCACCGGCUAACUACGUGCCAGCAGCCGCGGUAAUACGUAGGGUGCAAGCGUUAAUCGGAAUUACUGGGCGUAAAGCGUGCGCAGGCGGUUUGCUAAGACCGAUGUGAAAUCCCCGGGCUCAACCUGGGAACUGCAUUGGUGACUGGCAGGCUAGAGUAUGGCAGAGGGGGGUAGAAUUCCACGUGUAGCAGUGAAAUGCGUAGAGAUGUGGAGGAAUACCGAUGGCGAAGGCAGCCCCCUGGGCCAAUACUGACGCUCAUGCACGAAAGCGUGGGGAGCAAACAGGAUUAGAUACCCUGGUGGUCCACGCCCUAAACGAUGUCAACUAGUUGUUGGGGAUUCAUUCCUUAGUAACGUAGCUAACGCGUGAAGUUGACCGCCUGGGGAGUACGGUCGCAAGAUUAAAACUUAAAUGAAUUGACGGGGUCAUAGCUGUUUCCU